rfam:Schistosoma curassoni strain Dakar, Senegal genome assembly, scaffold: SCTD_scaffold0003262
AUCCAGCUGACGAGGGCCAAAUAGGACGAAGCGCGCGUCCCAGAU